UACGGGGGGGGCAAGCGUUGUUCGGAAUUACUGGGCGUAAAGGGCGCGUAGGCGGCCAGCGCAAGUCAGUUGUGAAAUCUCCGGGCUUAACUCGGAACGGUCAACUGAUACUGCGCGGCUAGAGUGCAGAAGGGGCAACUGGAAUUCUCGGUGUAGCGGUGAAAUGCGUAGAUAUCGAGAGGAACACCUGCGGCGAAGGCGGGUUGCUGGGCUGACACUGACGCUGAUGCGCGAAAGCCAGGGGAGCGAACGGG
rnacentral:rRNA from 1 species